rnacentral:rRNA from 1 species
UACGUAGGGUGCAGGCGUUAAUCGGAAUUACUGGGCGUAAAGCGUGCGCAGGCGGUUUGCUAAGGCAGGUGUGAAAUCCCCGGGCUUAACCUGGGAACUGCGCUUGUUACUGGCAAGCUAGAGUGUGGCAGAGGGGGGUGGAAUUCCAGGUGUAGCAGUGAAAUGCGUAGAGAUCUGGAGGAACACCGAUGGCGAAGGCAGCCCCCUGGGCUAACACUGACGCUCAUGCACGAAAGCGUGGGGAGCAAACAGG